ACCAGAUGGUUGCGUGCUUAGGCAUGAGGAAAGUCCGUGCUCCGUAGAGCAGAAUGCUGGAUAACGUCCAGUGAAGGUGACUUCAAGGAUAGUGCAACAGAAAUAAACCGCCAUAUUGGUAAGGGUGGAAAGGCAGUGUAAGAGACUACCUACUUUUAGGCGACUAAAGGUGACAUGUAAACCCCAUUCGGAGCAAAACAAACAAGGAUCAAAGGUUGCUGCUCGUAACCUCCUGUAAGGUAAGUUGCUUGAUUUUAGUGGUAACACUAAAACUAGAUAGAUAACCAUCUAAUACAGAACACGGCUUAUAGGUUUACUCAU
rnacentral:RNase_P_RNA from 2 species